GAUGAACGCUGGCGGCGUGCUUAACACAUGCAAGUCGAACGGGAUCCAAGGGGUGCUUGCACUUUUUGGUGAGAGUGGCGAACGGGUGAGUAACACGUGAGUAACCUGUCCUUUUCUUUGGGAUAAGCAUUCGAAAGGGUGUUUAAUACCUUAUGUUCUGUCUGCCUCGCAUGGGGUGGGUGGGAAAGGCUUUGGCCGGAUUUGGGUGGGCUCGCGGUCUAUCAGCUUGUUGGUGGGGUGAUGGCUUACCAAGGCUUUGACGGGUAGCCGGCCUGAGAGGGGGGUCGGUCACAUUGGGACUGAGAUACGGCCCAGACUCCUGCGGGAGGCAGCAGUGGGGGAAAUUGCACAAUGGGCGAAAGCCUGAUGCAGCGACGCCGCGUGGGGGAUGAAGGCCUUCGGGUUGUAAACUUCUUUUGCUCUGAACAAGGCAUGCCAGUGGGUGUGUUGAGUGUAGGGGUUGAUUAGCGCCGGCUAACUACGUG
rnacentral:rRNA from 1 species